GCUUUAUCUCGCUUCGGUGGGAAAGCAAUGUUGAGUCUGGGAACGGUGAGGCCAGUAGUGGUCUCUCUGAAACCCCUUCUACCCUCUUUCUUCCCUCCGAAAUCCCUCCUUUUCUCAGCAAUCCCCAAAUGUGUCUCUCUCCUGUCUUCCUCUGCAUCGCGGGCCCAUUCUUUUACCUCACAGGCUUCAAAUCUGCUCAAUAAUGCCAGUGUUGAGCCCUAUUAUCUCUCUUGCUGUAUGCCCGAUAGGCGUCUCAGAGUAGCUGUUCUUCUCAGCGGUGGCGUCGAUAGUAGCGUCGCUCUCCACCUCUUGCAUGCCGCUGGCCACUGGUGCACCGCCUUCUACCUCAAAAUCUGGUUCCAAGUGCUCUCUCUCUCUAUAUUUCUGCUAUCUUUGAAAUUCUAGCCCUUUGCCUAAGAAACAGCCUAGUAAUAAGAUAAUAGUUCAUAAAGCCCGAAAGCAGAUGCUGACCCUAACAAAUAGUCGAGUAUCUGUUUUCGUUCUUAAACGCCAUUUUUUAAGCCAAAGGGGAUAUGGCAGGGGAAUUUUGCAAACAAAAUCACACAGCGGUAAAAUGAAAGUAAGCCCGGCCAUGGCCCAUGAUACGCAAAGUAAAAGUUUUGAGAAUUUGAAUAAGUGCCCCUAUUGUUUUGUAGGGCAAAUUAGAUGUUUUUGUUUUUAUUUCAAUUCUUUUUAUAUACCAGAACGAUCGAGUUCUGAUAUGUUGUUUUUGUAGGAAGAUUUUGAGAACUUCUGGUCAGAAUGCCCAUGGGAAGAAGAUUUGGAGUAUGCCAAAGCUGUUUGUGAUCAGGUUGAUGUACCAUUGGAAGUCGUGCAUUUGACUGAUGAAUAUUGGAAAUAUGUGGUAUGUUAUGUUGCGAUUCUCCUUGUCCCAUCAACUUUUCUCGAUCAUGUCUUUCUAGACUCUGUAUAGCCAACCAAGAGUCUAUUAACAUCCACAGACUUGUUCUGGGUUGGGGCUGAUGACUAGUUAGCUAUGCUCUGUUCAAUAUGGAAUCUUUUAUGUUCUAUUAUGUGUUUCGUGUAGUUAUAAUUUUGUUCAUUACCUGCCUUCUUGUCGGGUAAUUGGAUGAGUUCACGUAGGUAUUCUCCAGUCAGAGAAGUCACAAAAAUUGGUGGUAAAUAUUUCAGGUCUCUUACAUUAUUGAGGAGUAUCGAUGUGGUCGUACUCCCAAUCCAGAUGUUCUUUGCAAUACAAGAAUUAAGUUCGGUGCAUUCAUGGAUGCCAUCAACAGUAUGGAGUUUGAUUUUGUUGCUUCUGGGCAUUAUGCCAAUGUCAUCCACCCAUCUGCAGAUCAAAUAAAUAAGCCUUCUGUCUUAGAACUCUCAAAGGACAUGGUCAGCAUCUUAGAUGCACAUUUGCUAAUAUUUUGUUUAUAUUCCUUUUUUUUUUUGUGUAGUCUUUCUGUAAUAUAUUUAAUUUAAGUGGCUACUUGUGUGUCUUUUAGGCACAUGCAUGCAUAAGUUUUAAGAACAAAACAUUCACAUUGUGAAAUGCCACUUUAAAGUGGAAACCCUGUCUUUGGAUGGAGUCUUUGCACAAUAAAUCUUAUCAUUCACUUAAAAACCAGGAUAAGAAAAGAUGUUAUCUUAUGUAGUUUUCCAUGGUGUGAUGCAUGGUUGCAGCAUUAGUUGUCAGUCAACAAUCCUGUUGUAGAAAGUUUUUGAAGACUAGCAUGAGAUGGAAGAUAGAAUAGCAGCCUUUUCUUUUCUUUCUUUUUUUGUUUUUGUACUUUCAAUAUAUAUGCCACUGUUAUCAGUAAUUGUUGGAGUUCUUAAAGUGUGUCAUAUCAGCAAGGUCAAAACUGGGCAAAGGAUUGAGAUAUUCUUUGAGAUUGACAAUGUUAUUUUCAUUGUAUAAAUUGUGAUUAAGUUUUCUUUCCUAUAUUUUCUUCCCAUUGUAUUCUUUUCUGAGAAUAAUAAAAUAUGAUGAAUCAGAUUGUCAAUAAGGAAGAUCAUGUAUGUUGUGUUUGUAUUCUAUUAUUUUGAAUCUUUGAUGUCUGUCACUUGAUUAUAAACUCUUAAGAAGGUUACUUGAAGCAUUUGUCUGUCACUUGCUGUUAAUAUCUUUAAUUUUGACUUUGCAGGUCAAGGAUCAAACUUAUUUUCUUUCACAUCUGUCUCAGACCCAGCUAAAACGACUUAUUUUCCCACUUGGUGGUAUGCUGAAGGAUGAAGUUCGCAAACUUGCCACACAAUUUGAUUUACCUAACAAAGACAGAAAGGAUUCGCAGGGAAUAUGCUUUCUUGGGAAGGUACUUCUGGGAAGCUGUUUCAACCACCAGGAAGCCUCUUUGAGAUAUUUAAUUUCUUGUUUUUACUCACUCAAUGUAUUUACUGCUUGGCAUUAUGCAUUUAUUUCCUUGAUUCUGUCUUGCAAACUUUAACUAUAGAGUCUGCUAAAAAAAAAAAAAACUCGAACUAUAGAGGAAAGCAAAACAAGAUGUUCUCCACCAAGUCAGACUUGCUUAUGGUUAAGUUUACUUUGCAAGCAACAUCACGAAUACCUUAAUUAUUUUGGAUGGUGGAAGAAAAUGUUCAAACUGAUUUUUUGGUGUAACUUCUGGAUAUUAAUCAUGGUCAUAUUGGAUAUUGUUCCCCUUUUUUUUUUCAUUUUUUUUAUUUGUUGAUUGGAGGGGCCAUUUGCAAAUCCUAACACCCUUCCAUGUAUCGAAAAAGUCAAAUCUGGUCUCUUAUGAGUCAUUUGUGAUUACGUUCACAUUGAAUUUUUCUUUUGUGUGUGUGUGUGUAGAUCAAAUUUAGUGAAUUUGUUGCAAGACAUAUUGGGGAGAUGGAAGGUAUCAUAUUGGAAGCUGAGACAGGAGAUUUCCUUGGCUCACAUCAAGGGUUUUGGUUCUACACAAUUGGUCAACGGCAAGGUCUACGUCUUCCUGGAGGUCCUUGGUAUCCUCUUGGACCAUAUCCUUUUCAUCACUUCUUUGACCAUCCACUUAUUGCCUUUCAGUCUUGGCUCUUCAUAAUGCUAAGUCUGAUCAUUCUGAAGGAGAGAUGUAAUUUACUGUCAGAAAACAUUGUUCUGUUGUCUGUUGGAAUGUUUAUAAGUUUAUGCCUUUUUAUUGGACUUGCUUGGCAUGUUCUAUUCAUAGAUUAUAUUUAUUUUGCUAUUGCAAAAUUAUUUUCAUAGGCUAUUAACAGCCAUUACCAUAACCAUUUCUCAAAUGUCCAAAUCUCCAUGGACUUGAUGCUGUAAAUUUGACCUAACUCUGUUAGUUUUUUUGUCAACAUUAGCUUAAAAUUGUGCAGUUCUUUUUAUAUUAUAGCAGAGCCUUUCAUCUACUACAUUGCUUAUCUUUUCCAUGUUGCUUCUCUUAUGCAGGUAUGUUGUUGAGAAGGAUGUUAAGAACAAUGUAGUGUUUGUGUCAAGAAAUUAUUUCUCAUUUGACAAAAGAAGGCGCUUAUUCCGUGUUGGCUCCUUGAGGUGGUUUAGUGGGUUGCCCCCUGAGAAGAUGCAUAAGCUCCAGUGUAAGGUAGAAAAUCCAUUUUCCCGUUUGCAUAAACAAUGUUAUGGAUAUUUCUUUUCAGCACGUCUUGGUCUUUGUAUUGAAUUGGUCAAAGCUCUAUUUCCUUUUGAUUGGUAUCCUUUAAUAACUUAUUGAACAUGGGUGGGGUUCUGGAAAAAAGUUUUAGUAUCAAAUAUGAACGUUUUAUGACUGGUAGUGGUAAUUUUAGUAACAACAGUUUACAUGCUAAAAAUCUUCCUAGAAUGAUUAUCAUGUGCUAAUAGUUUAGUACUAGUAGGCAUGGUGAUGUUUCCUUAUUUCCUGUUAUUUUAUAUUCUGAUGCUUCGGACCUUAGCCACUAAUUGCUUGAAGCUCACAUCUCUCAAACUUUCCAGGUGAGACAUGGCCCUGGGUUUUAUGAUUGCAGUGUGGAAAUAAAUCCGGGUGAAGUUGGCAGUGAAGAUGUUGCAGUUGUUCACUUGUUCGAAGAUGAUCAAGGUCUGGCAGCAGGGCAAUUUGCAGCCUUUUACCAGGGAAGAACCUGCAUAGGCUCUGGUGUGAUUUUGGAGUCUUGGGAUGAUCAAGGAUUUCCUGUAUGUGAAAAGGCUCUUGAAUUAGCAAGAAUGGAAGACAGAUCAAAGCUUGGGAAACCAGUUAAAAUAAAAGUUAAAUCAGAGAUUCACGAGGGUUCUGAUGGGAAGGAUGGUAUAGAACUAAAUAGACUAUCGGCUGAUUCCCAGGCUGCUGUUGUUAGUUGACAAAGCUGGAAAUAUCAAACAGAGAUACUUGCAGAUCCUAGUGAAUUGGGUACGAUGAGAUCAAAGAAAUGGUUCAGAUAUUAGUGUUUCAUGAAACCCCGGAGCACUAACAAAGACUUCGGAAAGAAUUGUCUGCAAGUGCGAGCUAGAUUUAGGUCUCUGUUCUUCCAAUGAAUCUCUUUUGGUGAGCUUGUUGCUUGCACAGCCUUCACGAGGUGGGGUCCCCUCAGGGUGAUCAGAAGCAUAUUACUGAUACUUCAUAAUUCAUAUUUUGUUACAAUAAUCAUUUGAAGAGUAUAAAUCUUUAUUUUGUGAUUUACCAAAAGAAGUGUACAAAUAUUAGACUUCAAGUUCAUGCUUUGUGAGAACUUACGUAUAUAAAUUCUAGAGACAGGGUUGUGCAUGUAAUUUGCUUGCAUUUGGUAGGAUUUUGCAUCAGUUUUGCUUGCAAUAACCAUGGUAAACAGCCACCAAAACCUGAUCGAUCAUAUGGGAUUUUGACUUGGCUUAGAUUAUUUUCGAUGAGGUGUGACUGCUGCUUUGCUGCCUUUAAUAAAAGGGUAACUUGUGUUUGGAUAGAG
rnacentral:misc_RNA from 1 species